AUUUGGUGUUGGGGGCACUUGAUGUACAGUUUCUUGAAUCUCUUCCAAUACUCAUAGAGGGACUCGCCUGGGUGUUGCUUGAUACAGGAGAUUUCAUUCCUUAGACU